rnacentral:misc_RNA from 1 species
GAUGAAGAACGUAGCGAAAUGCGAUACUUGGUGUGAAUUGCAGAAUCCCGUGAUCCAUCGAGUCUUUGAACGCAAGUUGCGCCCGAAGCCACUAGGCCGAGGGCACGCCUGCCUGGGCGUCACACGCCGUUGCCCCCCCAUCUACUCCUUCGGGAUUGCGGGGGGGCGGAUGAUGGCCUCCCGUGCGCCUAGCCGCGCGGUUGGCAUAAAUACCAAGUCCUCGGCGACGCACGCCACGACAAUCGGUGGUUGCGAAACCUCGGUUGCCCGUCGUGUGCGUUCGUCGCGCAUCGAGGGCUCGAAAAAAUGCUCGGCUCCGGCUGGGCUUUCAACGCGACCCCAGGUCAGGCGGGGUUACCCGCUGAAUUUAAGCAUAUCAAUAAGCGGAGGA